rnacentral:misc_RNA from 1 species
AACAUCAGUUGAAUUUUAUAACGAGAAGUAUGCGAACGGUUGAACGGUGAGUAAUUUAACUUGUGUCGGAAGAAAAACAUGCCGUUAAGAACUAUAACUCUGAAUAACGUCUCAAACUUCCUGGUCCGUAAAAAAGAAGCUAUUCAAACGCUCCCGAAGAACAUUUACAAUGCCCUAUUCCCAUCGGUCAAGGUAAGUUGAUAACUAGAUAAGUUGGUAAGUUCAGUUGAUAAGAUAUGUAAAAGCUCCCCACCAUUGAACGAUUCAAGUGGUGGGUAAGUCUGGCAACAGACGUCACCUGCAGGCAGAACUUACAACUGACUUUUAUACGAUGAGGUAUCCCAUCGGUUGAAAAAGAGUUACGAUUCGCGGGUGAAAUCCCACUUGCCAUACGUCGCAU